UACGUAGGUGGCAAGCGUUAUCCGGAAUUAUUGGGCGUAAAGCGCGCGCAGGCGGUUUCUUAAGUCUGAUGUGAAAGCCCACGGCUCAACCGUGGAGGGUCAUUGGAAACUGGGGAACUUGAGUGCAGAAGAGAAAAGCGGAAUUCCACGUGUAGCGGUGAAAUGCGUAGAGAUGUGGAGGAACACCAGUGGAGAAGGCGGCUUUUUGGUCUGUAACUGACGCUGAGGCGCGAAAGCGUGGGGAGCAAACAGG
rnacentral:rRNA from 1 species